rnacentral:SRP_RNA from 1 species
GGGUAAGUCUUAUACAACCAGCUCCUGCUGACUCCCCCAGGACCGGAAGGUAGCAAGGGUAAGUGGUUGAGCGGUGUGAUGUAAGUAGCUUACCCAUU